GCGUUAUCGGGAGCAGUGCCUUCCAUAAUUA
rfam:Poecilia formosa, whole genome shotgun sequence.